AAUGUGCUUUCAAAUGCUCAACUUCAAUCACGUUUCGUUAAAACACGAGCAGUGAUCGGAUAACAAACAAUAAGCUAGCGCAGAGACACCAGUUGGUCCGCUUCAGCAUGACAGAGGAACACUUUUGUAAGUACUCCAAUUUACCACAAAUAGACUACAUGAUCCAACGAUUUUUGCAGGGUUGUAUGAGGGGCUGCAAGCGUUCAACGUCAACGUCGCCAAUAACCCAACAAUGCAAAGUGUGAUUUGUAAGAGCGAAUGCGAUGCCAGCGGCCAACCUGCGGAAACGAGUGCGCACUACGAGAAAAACAACAAGAGCAACCAAAGUUAAUUGCUGCAAGCUGCAACUAUUAUGCAUAAACGCAUUUAAAUAUGCAUGCACGGCUGCGUGCGUAUAUGUGAGCUGACGUACAUAGUAUUGCCGUUUUGAUACAGACGUGUCCACAUGGGUAAAUUUUCGUCACAAAUUUAGACGGAUGCUUCUCUUUAUCCUCAGUGUAUAUAUGGAUACCUUUGCCUUAAGUAGCAAGUCAUAACUUGAAAGAAAUCUUUCACUAUUUAUGUAGACUGCAGUGUCUUCGAAUCGGAGAUCUACCCUAUAGAGAGGGCGGCUAGUCUUUUACUUAGUUGUAAAGAUCCAGAAGACAAAGCCACUAUUUUUGUUGACAGUCAGGCAGCAUUGAAGGCAAUAGGAUCUAGAGUGGUGAAAUUGGGAAUUGUAUGGAAAUGUCGCACCACGCUGACGUCACUGAGCCGUAUCAACGUCACUCUAUGCUGGGUUCCCGGACAUAGCAAUAUUGAAGAGAAUGAGUCGGCUGAUGAGAUGCUAGAUGCGGCUCAGAGAUGCCAACAGAAGAAGCGGAUAGCUCCGUACUACCACGGUUUAGUAAUCACGUUAGGAAAAUUAAUGAGUACACCGUGGCCGUGACGAAUGGUUUGUGGAACAAACGGGAAGACUGUGAGAGCACAAGAUUAUUAUGUCCGCGGCUGAGUGGGAAAAACACAAAGGACAUACUGAAACCCAAUCGAUCUGCAGUAAGAGCCCUAACCGGCGUCAUCACAGGACAACGUUCUAUAGCACCAAUGCUCCAACAGUGGCGAAUACCAACGAAUACUCUCUGCAGAGGCUGCCAUGAUGAGGAUGAGGAAGAGUAAAUUAACCACUAUCUGUGUCGAUGUCCAGGUCUACAGACGAAGCGACUCAAGCACUUGGGUUCACGCUUAUUCAGCAAUCUGGGCGAAGUAGCAGAGUUGGAACUGUUGGAUCUCUUCGGCUUCUUCUUUUACAUUUACACCUACCAACUAGCCUCUUUGUAUUCAAAGGAAACUGACCACCAUUCCGAUGACUAAUUUUCGGCCCUAAUUUGACUGUACUAAUAGCUAAGAAAAUCGAAAAUUUGUCUGAUUUCGAUCAACAUGAAUUUGGACAAACUGGAAAUAGACAUAUGUAUUUCUUUAUUUUGGGAGAAUAAUAUUUUGUUUGUGGGAAUCUUGGAAUAAACAUGCAACAUCUACCGUUUAAAAACCAA